AGAGCCUCAGUCUCCCGUGAGCAGAGGGUGUGUGUGUGGCUGCCACUAUUCUGCAGACACGCUGGCUCCACCCCAGAGAGUUGCAGGGCCAGGAAAUCUGCAUUUAAACAGACCCUGGCUCUCACACUUCGGAAACUGCCCGAAGCACCUCUCAAAUAUGGGACAGGUGCUUAGGCCGAAAAUCAGGAAUCUCUUGAAUGAAUGCAUGAAGGUGGAGCCCUUUCCCUUAAUGCGCAGGUGAAAAGGGCACCUCGGUGGAUUCUACUAAAUUUAAUAGAAGGUAAGUAGGACCUGGGUCACACCGGCUUGUGGAAAGUGGAGGUCAGAAUCUGAGAGGCUGCGUUUGGCACUAGGUGGGAAGGAGCUGGCUAGGGGGCAGAGGAAAGAGGGCAGGUGGCUUCGGAUCCGGGGUCUCUCUUUCGUUCAACUCCGUGGGUGUUAAGGGAGCCCCAUGGCGGCCUGGGCAAGCGCUGAGAGCACCUGGAAAGAGAACACCCCGCUGGACCCUCCUCUCCCCUCACUUCCAGUUGCACAGGCGAGGCCCAGCCACCUGGACGCAGGCCCAGAAGCCCAGGAGGCGGGCUAGGGGAAGGAGGGGUUUCCUGGGUCACCAGCCCCUCCCCACCGGGUCCCUGGUUCGCAGGAGGCCUCGAGGCUCGGUCCCCUGCCCGCCCCCUCUACUCUGUUUCCCCACUGCCCACAGCCUGGCCUGGUAAACAGCCCUUUCCCUGGGAAUUUCUCCCCAGCAUCUCCGGCAGGUGUGGAUGGGGGUUUGUGGCCACCCAGCCUCCCCUUCUCCAGGCCAAGACAUCCCUGGUCCUGUUUGUCCUCCCAACAUGGCUUCCAGACCCUUCUCCGUGGGGGACCCCAGCCUGCAUUUCCGGUUCAGAUAGGGUCUGACCAGGAUGGAGGUUGGAACUGUGGUCCCCUCACCAUGGACACAUGGCUCCUGGGAGACCCCUGGCUCCUUUCGGGUCCCCCAUUUCCUUCCAGCUGGGGUCAGGGCCAGCCAGCUGCAGGAUACCCUCUGCUGUGCCCCUUCUGGGCCCCAGGAGGCCCUUCCUUCCUCUUGGGAUGAGGGCGCCGUCCCUACAUGCUUGUCUUGUGGGUGCCUGGUGAUGCUGAACCACCUGGGCCUCCCUCAUGGCGAGGCCCUUCCUUCCUCGCAGGGACCCAUUCGGGGUGGCCCUUAGGAAGGGAGCUGUUUUGGAAGACCCCUUGACUGCCCUUCUCCUCUGUCUCAUCCUCAUUCCAGGACCUUGCUCAGUGGCUGAGAUUGUAUACUCGUCAUUUUGAUUUAGAAAAAGACAUGAUCAGGUUCUGGGAUCUAUUCUCCCUAAGGAUGUCUGGCCAGGGUAAUAGCCCUGCACUGAGCAGAAGGCAUGGAGACCACAGGGUGGGCCACAGAGCAGGAAAGAUCGAGGGAAGGGGCAAAGAAUGGCAGAGGUGAAGGAAUCCAGAGUACUCCAGGUGCUGCACACACACCAGACCUCACAGCCCCCUGUGGAGCUCAGAUUAUUCCCUUAUUUUUCUUUUUUUUUUUUUUUUUGAGAUGGAGUUUCCCUCUUGUUGCCCAGGCUGGAGUGCAAAAGUGCAAUCUCCGCUCACCACAACCUCUGCCUCCCAGGUUCAAGCUAUUCUCCUGCCUCAGCCUCCCGAGUAGCUGGGAUUACAGGCAUGUGCCACCACGCCCAGCUAAUUUCGUAUUUUUAGUAGAGACAGGGUUUCUCCAUGUUAGUCAGGCAGGUUAUCCCCAUUUUAUAGGGAAAGAACUUGAGUCUGCAAGAAGCAAGUCACCCAGGAUUCUCAGGGCGAGGAGGAGGCUGAACCAGGAUUUGGACCCAGAUAUCUCUGGCUCUCAAGCCUCCUCUUUUCUAUAAACCACCUGUUUACAGCACAGAGGGAGCUGGUCAUUGGGGCCGAGCUGGGUUUAUGGUAUCUGAAGCUUACACAAUUUCAAGAGGACUCUCAUUUAAAAAAAAAAACAAACACAAUUACAAAACCAAAAUUAGGCAUAACAGUGAAUUUUAUUUAUUUAUUUAUUUUAUUUUUAAUUUUUUUUUUUGAGGCGGAGUCUCGCUCUGUCACCCGGGCUGGAAUGCAGUGGCGCCAUCUCGGCUCACUGCAAGCUCCGCCUCCUGGGUUCAGGCCAUUCUCCUGCCUCAGCCUCCCGAGUAACUGGGAUUACAGGUGCCCACACCAUGCCCGGCUAACUUUUGUAUUUUUAGUAGAGACAGGGUUUCACCACAUUGGCCAGACUGGUCUCGAACUCCUGACCUCAGGUGAUCUGCCUGCCUCGGCUUCCCAAAGGGCUGGUAUCACAGGCUUGAGCCACCACACCUGGCUUCCCUAUGUUUUUCUAUAUCCUGAUCGCUUCCUUGUACAACAAGGAUUUUGCAAUGCCAUAUUCUAUAGAGAAAACAAACUUCAAUCAAAUUUCUUUGAUAUGGUAGCAGGAAGAGUUCAGGGCAUGGCUGUGUCAAGUUUUCUCAUGUGGGACCUGACCUUACAUGCUCCUUGGAUGGGCCACACUGGUGACCACGCGAGGCUUUGAUGCUCUCAUCACAGGGACCUGUUCUGAGUUUUAUGUUGUCUUUGUUGGUUUCAACAUUUUAUGCCAAAUCAGCAAGAAAUUUAAAUCUUUUUUCAUCAUGAUCAUUGUAUUCAUUCUCCUUCAUUCAUUGGUGAGCCUGUUCCUGGAAGCCAUCUGUACCCUCGGACAGCCAGCAACGACUGAGCUACACAUGGAUAGAACCAUGAACCACAAGAAAUACCCCUGAAUUCUGAACUAUUUCCAUAUCAACUUCUCCCAAAAUACCCACAGCCAGUCCAACACCAUCCAACUGGAUGGGAGCAGGGAAGGCGGGGAAUCAGAGUGGAAAGAGACUUAGCUGAGUUAUUUUUAUUAUUUUUAAAAGCCUUAUUCAUAGACAUAUGUGUAUAUUUAGAGACAGAGUCUAUCACUACGUUGCCCAGGUUUGAUUCUUUUUUUAGAGACAGGUCUGGAGUACAGUGGUGCAAUCUUUGCUCAUCACAGCCUUGAACUCCAGGGCUCAAGCCAUCCUCCCACCUCAGCCUCCUGAGUAGCUGGGACUACAAGCAUGUGCUGUGCCACCAAGCUGGCUUGGUGUGACUAACUGAUGUCUCACCUUUGCAAACUUUACAGAAACAUAUGACAUAGGAACACAUUGCAAUUACAUAUUGCAAUUCAGCAGAAAAAAAAAAAAGAAAGACUUUCUUUUUACUGAAUGGCACUGACUUACCAGGUACAUACAAGCAAGUGGAGUCUGGGGACCACUUUUUGGCUGUUCUAGAGAAAGUGCCCCAAAGAGGAUUCAGCAGCCAGACUCCUGUUAGUUUUCUCAUCUCACUCAGAAGGCUCAGCCUCUGAAACAACCAUUCCAGGACUUGGAGGCAGGGGAUCUGGGUUAAAGGCCCAGCUCUGCCGUUUCCUAACUGUGGGGCCUUGGCAAGUGCAGGUCCUGUGAGCUUCACCAGCCUCAUUAGCAAGAAUAGUUCAUGUUCCCCUGCCACGGAAGUGCCCUGUGAACUAGAAGAGAGCAUGGGCAAGUAUGGGGUUAGUCUCGCUAACAGAUCAGCCAGCUUCUGUCUGGGCAAUUCUGUCAUUUAGGGUUUUGCUGGGGUGGCCCCGGGAGUCGUUUGGGAGUUCACCUAUCUCCCCAGGCAUGGAGAAGGGGUGGUGUUUCUGAAUCAGGAUUCUGAGCUGAACUGCAAACCUGACUGUGCUCCAAGUUUCUUGGACCAGCAAGCCCAGCUCCCAGAGUCCCGCUGCCCUGGCCUGAACCCGCCGCUCCACACCCCGGGCUCUCGGCAGCCGGGCGGCUCGUGGGAGGAGGCGCCAUGAGCCUUCUUGCAUUUCCUGCUUCAGACUUGAUGGAUUACAGAGGACUCCUGCUCCAGCUGUGGGGAACUCCAGCCCGCACUUUGCCUCCAGCCCGAUGGUGCAAGAUCCAGCUUCUCUUCAGCCUGGCAUCAAACGUCUUUUUGAUCAGCUUUUCAUCCAUUUUCUGAAAAUGUAGUGAUUGAGAGAUGUUCUGAAUCUUGCAGAAUUCUGUGUCGCACCCUGGCCACACAUCAAUGCAGGCCUGAACCUGACCCUGGGUGGACUCCCUGCUCUCUGCCAGCCCCUUUCUCACCCCUGGGUCCCCACGGCCCCUGGCUCUCUCCCCUCUGCUAGAAUCUCGCUGAGGGAUUGGUGGGGAGGGGGUGGUCACGCACUGGGUGGAGAUCUGGUGCCCCCUGGAGGCCGGACAGGAAGGGCCAGGGCGGACAAGGUCUUUGAGAACUCGGUGGCAUCCCGCUCCUGAUGGCCUGGGUCCCACCGCCCCUCCCCCAGCCUUCCUGACAGCAGAGGAGAUUGAUGGGGCGCUGCUCGAAUGUUCUUCAUCAGCGUCUUCAGUAAUAAGCUUCUCCAUUGGGUAACCGAUCCUAGUUUAGCAAAACCGUUUGUCAACCAUUUCCUCCCUUGAGCUUGAUAAGAACCCCGUGGGAGAGGAGAGAGGGGGGCCCCCCAGGAUCUGAAAAGCUGUGCCUCAGCCAAGUUCAUGAGUCACUGGCGAGGAGGCCUGUAGGUCAGCAAAGCCUAGGAGGUCAAGAGUGCCCACAUGGGGACCUACGGGCCUCAGGGCCGCAGGUUGCUGGGUUGGACCCUGGCUUGGAGCUCAGGAUAGAAACCCGGAAACCCCACAGGCAAAGAAGGAUGCAGAACAGAACAGGGCAGAACCAAGGACCCAGUGAGGGUGGCUGGCGUCAGAGCAAAUAUCAGAGUUCACAAGGUGAAAUAAUCCAAAAAUCUAUACAGAAAAAGCUAAUCAUUUUCUCCAAUCUCUCCCCCAAAGGUGUCUACUCCUGCAGGCUUACCUGUAACCUUUGUCACUCACUCUUCUGAUUCUGCAAACAUAUAAACCACGGAGCCACAGCCAAGAGAAUCUGGACUUGUUCGUUUUUCCUGAAAUAGGAUAUCUUAAAUAAUCCGUGGCUCAGCACUGCGCCCUUUUUUUUCUUUUCUUUUCUUUUUUUUUUUUUUUUUGAGACGGAGUCUCGCUCUGUUGCCCAGGCUGGAGUGCAAUGUCAUGAUCUUGGCUCACUGCAACCUCUGCCUCCUGGGUUCAAGCAACUCUCCUGCCUCAGCCUCCUGAGGAGCUGGGACUGCAGGUGCAAGACACCACGCCUGGCUAAUUUUUGUUAUUUUUAGUAGAGACAGUGUUUCACUAUGUUGGCCAGGCUGGUCUCGAACUCCUGACCUCAAAUGAUCUGCCUGCCUCGGCCUCCCAAAGUGCUGGGAUUACAGGCACAAGCCACAGCACCCAGCCUCACUGUGCCCUUUUCACUGGCAGGCAUUUUAUUGUCCCUACAGACCCAAGACGGGGUGGGGGAGACGUGCUUUGUGCUCACCUGGCUGGUUCAUGGGCAGGUGGCCUGGAGGACCCAGCCCUGGCAGCUGUGGGGUAGCUCCAGCCUGGGCCGGACAGCUUCUUUCAUCGCAGGCACCACUGCGGACAUUGCUGGGAGGAAGAGGAGGGAGAAGCGACGGGCUUCAUUAGGAACGGCUUUCGAUGGAUUGGACGAGGCGCGUCCACCCUGGGGAGGGCCAUCAUUUUAUUCAGUCUACUGAUGCAAAUGCUUAUCUCUUCUGGAAACACCUUCACAGACAGACCCAGAAUAUAGUUGAACCAAAUACUGGGCACCUCAUGGCUCCAACAGGUUGACACAAAAAAUGAACCAUUGCAGAAAACGAAGAACAGUCACCAACUCCCACCCAUGCAGCUGGCUCAUUUGCUGGGCUGCCCUCCCCAGCAGGUGGCACAGGAAUCCCUGCCUUGGCAGGGAGGAGGCCUGGGGUGUGUGCAGGUACCCAUGGGAAGUUUCUUUGCCAUGGGGAAAGCCAGAGUCACCCCUUGCUUGAACACAAGAGUUGGAGGUUUCAGUGAGCUGAGAUUACGCUAUUGCACUCCAGCCUGGGCGGCAGAGUGAGACUCUGUCUCUAGAUAAAUAAAUUAAAUAAAUAAAUAAAUAUAAUUUAAUAUAAAUAACUAGAAAUUUUUCAAUACUUGCAUCUCUGUAGGUUACCUCUGGAAGUGCAGGGCUUUGUCUUUUUGGAUUAACUCAGAAAUUAGACCUUCAGAAA
rnacentral:lncRNA from 1 species